rnacentral:rRNA from 1 species
GAUGAACGCUGGCGGCGUGCCUAACACAUGCAAGUCGAACGAAGCACAUACGACGGAACUCUUCGGAGGGAAGAUGUGUGUGACUGAGUGGCGGACGGGUGAGUAACGCGUGGGUAACCUGCCCUAUACAGGGGGGCAACAGUUGGAAACGACUGCUAAUACCGCAUAAGCGCACAGUACCGCAUGGUACAGAGCGAAAAACUCCGGUGGUAUAGGAUGGGCCCGCGUCUGAUUAGUUAGUUGGCGGUGUAACGGACCACCAAGACGACGAUCAGUAGCCGGCUUGAGAGAGUGAACGGCCACAUUGGGACUGAGACACGGCCCAAACUCCUACGGGAGGCAGCAGUGGGGAAUAUUGCACAAUGGGGGGAAACCCUGAUGCAGCAACGCCGCGUGAGUGAAGAAGUAUUUCGGUAUGUAAAGCUCUAUCAGCAGGGAAGAAAAAUGACGGUACCUGACUAAGAAGCCCCGGCUAACUACGUG